rnacentral:misc_RNA from 1 species
GUAUUGAUUGCGUGUGAUCGCAAAUGAAUGACAUUCUAAACUAUAAGGAUGUUUGUGUGAAAAACGCGAGCCUUCUCCCCUUGGAGCAAGCCAAGAGGGAGGCGCCCCACGCGGUGGUGCACAAGAGGUGAGGUGGAUUGUAGAUGAGAACACUCAGGCGUGCACGACCUUUUGGAAAGGUCAGCGACAGCCCUCGCGCCUCCAUAGUACGAUAAUGAUCCUUCCGCAGGUUCACCUACGGAAA